UCGUGCAGUGCGAGAAUUUGUACGAAAUCAUUUCUUGCCUUUUACCAGAAGUGACCGCGAGUCCCGCACACAGACUUGUCAUUAAGCAAACGCGUUUGAAUAGUUUGUUUGAUUUGCUUGACUAUAAGCAA
rnacentral:snRNA from 1 species